rnacentral:rRNA from 1 species
UACGGAGGAUGCGAGCGUUGUUCGGAAUCACUGGGCUUAAAGCGCAUGUAGGCGGGGUACCAGGUGCUUUGUGAAAGCCCUCGGCUCAACCGGGGAACUGCUUGGCAAACCGGUACUCUUGAGGUAGGUAGAGGCGCGUGGAACCUUCGGUGGAGAGGUGAAAUUCGUAGAUAUCGAAGGGAACGCCGGUGGCGAAAGCGACGCGCUGGGCCUGUCCUGACGCUGAGAUGCGAAAGCGUAGGUAGCAAAC